GCAUAUUCUCUAAGGAGGAAGUAGGGGAUCGAAAGACCUUAUGCCUUUGGAGCGGCCGAUGUCUGAUUAGCUAGUAGGUGGGGUAAUGGCCUACCAAGGCGACGAUCAGUAGUUGGUCUGAGAGGACGACCAGCCACACUGGGACUGAGACACGGCCCAGACUCCUACGGGAGGCAGCAGUGGGGAAUUUUGGACAAUGGGCGAAGCCUGAUCCAGCAAUGCCGCGUGAGUGAAGAAGGCCUUCGGGUUGUAAAGCUCUUUCAGUUGAGAAGAAAAGGUUGUGGCUAAUAAUCACAAUCCAUGACGGUAUCAACAGAAGAAG
rnacentral:rRNA from 1 species